rnacentral:lncRNA from 1 species
CUCUCAUUUCCUUUAAAUUCCUGUGGCUCCACCUGGAAGCACAGGCUGUGGGCCUGGAAGUGAUACCUAAUUUGCAGAGGGUCCUGCAGGCCGGGCUCAGGCAGAGAUCCCGGAAUUGUAGGACUGCGCAUCUGGAAGGGGGGAGGAGGGGGCAGCCCUGCAGGGAUCUUUGGGAUGGAUCGCUCAGACUAAGAAACUGAGGUCUAGAGAGGAUCGAUGAAGACAAAGGACCUCAACAUUGUCUUCCAGCAAGGCAGUCAGAGAUGAGGUCUGUUUUAUCUUAUUUGGCCCUGGAGAUGGACUCUACCACUGAGCUGCACUGCCAACCCCUGGGAUCUGUUUUGGAGUCAUUUUAAGGAGGCCUAUAGGCACCACCUGCAAGCUGUUCAUCUAUCCUCUGAGUUGGAAGAGGAAAGGAAGACCUUGCCAAGCCCUCCAAACCUGCUUAUAUUCUCUGUCUGGGGGAGUCUGUGCUUUGUCACAGAAUGGACUCCUGGCUUCUCCAUCCU